AUUGAACGCUGGCGGCAGGCCUAACACAUGCAAGUCGAGCGAGCGGCGGACGGGUGAGUAAUGUAUGGGGACUGCCCGAUAGAGGGCGAUAACUACUGGAUACGGUAGCUAAUACCGCAUACUAUCGGAUAACCCAUAUGGGAUUAGCUAGUAGGUGAGGUAAUGGCUCACCUAGGCGACGAUCCCCAGCUGGUCGGAGAGGAUGAUCAGCCACACUGGGACUGAGACACGGCCCAGACUCCUACGGAGGCAGCAGUGGGGAAUAUUGCACAAUGGGCGCAAGCCUGAUGGAGCAAUGCCGCGUGUAUGAAGAAGGCCUUAGGGUUGUAAAGUACUUUCAGUCGGGAGGCGGUACCGACAGAAGAAGCACCGGCUAACUCCGUGCCAGCAGCCGCGGUAAUAC
rnacentral:rRNA from 1 species